CCCAGUUGUGAUGGUUUGUAUAUGCUUGGCCCAGGAGAGUGCUCACUAUUAGAAGUUGUGGCCCUGUUGGAGUAGGUAUGUCACUGUGGGCUUGGGCUAUAAGACCCUCAUCCUAGCUGCCUAGAAGUCAGUCUUCCACUAGCAGCUUUCAGAUGAAGAUGUAGAACUCUCAGCUCCUCCUGCACCACACCUGCCUGGCCACUGCCAUGCACCUGCCUUGAUGAUAAUGGACUGAACCUCUGAACCUGUAAGCCAGUUCCAAUUAAGUGCUGUCCUUAUAAGAGUUUCCUUGGUUAUGAAGUCUAUUCAUAACAGUAAAACCCUAACUAAGAAACCAGUCAUGGCCUUAGCCCAUUGAUUUACUCAGAGGCCCAGGGUUAAGACUUUCAUGAGCAACUGGAUUCCAUGCCUUUGACCCAAGAGCCUUUAGGCACAUUACCCAUCAGAACCAUGGCAAUGAUUAUACACACCUGUUUAAGCGUAUAAAACGUUCAUUAGCAUCAUCUGGGAUGUGGCAUAUUUGAAGGCCACACUGAGUCUGAGUUUGUCCCAUGGAGCCCAGAUCUGUGGAUAUAAUGGGCCUGCUCUGAGUCACAUCUCAUGAAGCUGACCUGCUGGGUCAUGCCUGAAACAGAGCUUCUGAGCAGGUAGAAUCCCUACCUUUAAAUCCCACAGUCUUUAGCUUUUGUGGCUUAAAAAUCUGGUGGAUCCCUUACCAGUAAAAUCACUGUGAAAGACCAGAUUUUAAACACAAUCUUUUAGGAGAGAAUAAAGUCAAACUGGAUUCUAAGCAGAUCUGUCUUGUCUUGAAACAAGGCCACACUCCUCUCUUCUCUUAGUGUUUGGUCCGAUGGGAGGGUUUUGCUGCUAAUGUGCUGUUGGAAUACUAAGCUGUUUGACUGACAUGUUGGAGCUGGGCACAUUCUGAGGUUGUGAAGAAGCCAGGCAAGGUGAAGCACAGAGAUGGCCUGGCAUAGAGAUCUCAGAGACUCAGCGGGUGAAUGGUUAGAACUAAGCAAGCCAGACUAGACUUGGGAGCGAGCAUGGCAGGUCCUGUGCUGCCGAUGGAGCUGUUCUGGUGAAACUGCUCAGUCUCUGGGGUCGGUAGUGCUAGAUGCUAGGGGCCCAGGAGCAGUCAGGACCUACAGUCUAGAUGCUAGCUCUCGGGUAAGGGUCCAGAAACAGGCUUCUUGGUACAGAUGAGUAUUGUCUACUUCCAGGGGCUCAGGCAGCUGUGCUUCCUUCCCUACAAAACUACCUAGCAUACCCCGGUUCUGUGGAAGCUGCUGCUUGUGGGAAACCGACGGGAAGGCAGAAAGGACUUGGUCCUCAUCCAAGGAGGUCACUAGCACCUUCUUCCCAUGACUUGAAGCCUGAAAAGGUGCCGGUGGGGAAAUGCCCAGUGUGGCUUCAGUCUGUUUCUGGUGGGUGGUGAAGCCAGGGCCCUGCCUUGGGGCUGCUGUGCUCCUGAUAGAAACCACCCCUUUCCUCCUUCAAUGCUCGUCCCUACGUUUGACUUCCGGCAUGACCCUGGCAUGGCUGCAUCUAAAAUGAAACUAGAAGAUGCCAUGGUUUCCUCAGGGACAGGCACGCAGGAGAGAAGCCCAGGUGUUACCUGCUGCAAAGCUGUUGUUCCACGGACAGAAAAAUGGAAGCUGCUUUCUACAGGUAGGAGGUAACCGGAAACGGAAGCUGAGAGGGGGAAAGCUGCUUUCUACAGGUACCAGCUAACAGGAAACGGAAGCUCAGAGAGGGAACACUGCUUUACACAGGUACGGGGUAACCGGACACGGAAGCUCAGAGAGGGAACACUGCUUUCCACAGGUACGGGGUAACCGGACACGGAAGCUCAGAGAGGGAAAGCUGCUUCCCAUAGGUACCAGCUAGCCGGAAACAGAAGCUCAGAGAGGGAUUCUACAAGUACCAGCUAACCGGAAACGGAAGCUCAGAGAGGGAAAGCUGCUUCUCAUAGGUACCAGCUAGGUGGAGGCAGAAAUUAAUCCAGACCCAUUUUCUGAUUUUCACCAUUAAAAAAUCCGAGAACUAGGAAGCCUCCCUCCAGGCCUGACCUGACCCCAUUUGAUUCUGAGCAGAUGUGGGAGAUUGGCUUCCUAAUCUUCAUUUAGUUUGGCUGAGAGAGCACCUCAUUUGGUCCCCCUGUACCUCUGUUCCUCCCCUAUAAGUGUGGACAGUUGCAGCAGGAUCCAGUCACGUGGGCUGGAACAGGCUUACUCCCUGAUGGUCCCUGGAUUGGCAACUGCUUAUUUCAACUGUGGCAUCCCUGCUCCAGGGAUCAAGGGAGCUGUGUCCAGUGCAGAGGUUCAUUGAUGGUGACUUUGGCUCUGCUUGAGCCAACUUCAAGGCUAUGAGGAGUUGCUGCGUGGCUCUUUUAGCCUAAAUACUUCCUGUCCACACAGGAAAUGUGGGUGGCAGUAGUGACUUCCAUUCAUUUAAGCUGGCUCUGGGUAUAUGUGAAACAUCUGCCAUCCCUCACCUGGUCGUUCAUUACAGUCAGCUAUGGAGCAGGGUGACUAAUCUUGUAUUUACAGUAUAGAAGAAGGCUCUAAGACUAUAGUUUUCCUGAUGUCUGGGGUCUGAGCAAGUGUGCUAACCACAACCAGCCCUCAGACUCAUGACCAAGGCCAAAGCCAAGGCCUUCAGCCUCUUUUUGUUUUGAUAAAGUUGGACUUCCUGUCUCAGCAACAUUUGGCAGUCAAAAUGUAAAAGCUAAUAACUUCUUCAUAUGCACAUUUAAAAUCCAUUUACUACAACUCUUGUGUUUCUCUUCAGAUGUCUCUGAUAAUUUGGAAAGCAUUUCAUAUCUGUGGUAACAACAUGCAUAUCCUCCCCCACCCCACACAAACUAUACACCUUUCUCCACUCUGCACAAGUGUAUUUUCUCAUUCCUUUAUUAAGAGACCUAAGUACAAAAAGACAAACGCAUUUCUCUUCAGAGUAGAUAAACUGCAAAUGUGUAAAUGUGCAUCUGAAGAAGUUGUGAAUUUUCAUGUUUUGCAUGGCAAAAGUUGCUGAAAUGAGAAGUCUAACUUUGUCAAAGCAAAAGCUUG
rnacentral:lncRNA from 1 species